rnacentral:ncRNA from 1 species
CUACAACCAUUGAGGGAGCAAAGUAAUUAAGGUUUUCAUGGUAAGAGAGGAAAUGUCGUGGCUGUAAACAUUUCUCCAUGUGCUUAAUGAAUGAACACUCCUUAGGUUUUUCCUUGAAUCUUGGUAGGGGAAAACGUCAACAGGCGUUAACUGUUUAAAGUGGGACCUUUAUUAAUAUAUAAAAGUCCAAUUAGGGUGGCACCACGGGAUUUAACUCUCGUCCCUGGU